rnacentral:rRNA from 1 species
AUUGAACGCUGGCGGCAGGCCUAACACAUGCAAGUCGAGCGCGCGUCGGGCGCGUGUGUAUUGUCUGUGAAACUGCCUGUUGUAGGGGGGUAUCACUUGGAGACGGUAUCUCAUACCCCGCACCCUCUGGUGUGCCCAGAUGGGAUUAGCGAGUGGGUGGGGUAUCGGCUCACCUAGGCGACGCUCCCUAGCUGGUCUGAGAGGAUGACCAGCCACACUGGAACUGAGACACGGUCCAGAAUCCUACGGGAGGCAGCAGUGGGGAAUAUUGCACAAUGGGCGCAAGCCUGAUGCAGCCAUGCCGCGUGUGUGAAGAAGGUCUUCGGGUUGUAAAGCACUUUAAGUUGGGAGGCGUUACCAACAGAAUAAGCACCGGCUAACUUCGUGCCAGCAGCCGCGGUAAUAC